CCAUUGUCGCAGACCAUUCACGUUUCUUCUCAGCCAUUGUCUCCGUCAAACUUUUUACCUUGCCUCCCUGAAGCUCACCCACAUUGUGUCCCUGAACCUCAUCCACAUGGUGUACCUCAAACUCUGAACCUCACCCACAUUGUGUACCUCAAACCCUAGACUGUUGUCUCAAAAAUAUUAGGUUAUACGCCAUCGACAAUGUUUGCACGCGCGCAUCCAUGCUCACCUCAUCAAACAGGAUUUUGUAGUCUAGGAUUAGGAACAACUAUCCCAAAAGCUGAAGCUUUUGGAUGGAGGCAAAACUCCUGAGGAACUUGAAGCUAUACGUAAAGAUGUCGUCUUGAAAUACACUGAAGGCCUAUGUUGGGUGAUGCACUAUUAUUAUGAAGGCGUUUGUUCUUGGAAUUGGUUUUAAGUGCAAAUGCAGUGGCUGGUCUGAGCAUUGAGUGUUUGAUGGAUGAAAAAGAUGUUAAGGGCUUUAUCAAGAGGGAAGAAUUUGAGAAUUUGGCAUCAGGAUUACUGGAGAAAUUUAAUAUUCCCUGCAACAAAGCAGGGAUACACUUGAUAUUCACUACUUUAAUCAUAAUUACAUGCUUUUAACUUGAAAGUUUCAUAUCCUUUGCAACAUGAAUUUAGCUAAAUUUGUUUAGCUGUAUUGUUCCCCUUGAUUUAUUAAAGUAUGUUAACAAGUUACAUUUUGAUUUUAAGAUAAUUUGAAUUCUGCAGCUUUGGAAUUGAGAUUCAGAAUUUUAAUCCAGAUAAUUUGAAUUCUGCAACUAAUAAAGAUUGCGAAAUGUUAUUUUAAUCCAGAUAAUUAAGAACCAGAAGAAAGCAAUGGGAAUGCAUAUAUAAAUACUAUGCUCCAACCCCCAGUUUAAUUUGGUGGUAAGUGGUAAACAGAGGAAAGGAUAAUAGCUUUUGAUCUACCUAGUAGCACACAAUAUGGGAAGAUCCCCAUGCUGCGAUGAGAAUGGCCUUAAGAAAGGUCCCUGGACUCCCGAAGAAGAUCAAAAGCUAGUCCAACAUAUUCAGAAACAUGGCCAUGGUAGUUGGAGAGCCCUCCCUAAGCAAGCUGAUGUGGAAAAAGUUGUAGGCUAAGGUGUACUAACUAUUUAAGGCCUGAUAUCAAGAGGGGGAAGUUUUCUCAAGAGGAGGAGCAAACAAUUCUAAAUCUCCAUUCCAUCCUUGGAAACAAGUACUUUCCUUGCCACAUAAUAAUAUUAAAUCUCACACAUUUCUGAGUUUUGUGUGCAGGUUUAAUUGACUCUAGUAGGAAUUAUGUUCAGGCAAACAAUGUUAGAGUUCCUACACCUCCUCGUCCUUCAAAAUUAAUGUACAGGAGAGCUGUUGAAACGGGCAAGUGUUGUCGACUUUACUGAUGAAUCUCAACCCCCCUUGGCUGAUCCUACAAAGACCAUUGAAGUGGACAAUGGAUUUAAAAAAUCAAAGUUGUGGAAGCCCCCAAGAUACAAAGACACACGGGUUGAUGAAGUAUUUGCUGCCAAAAAGUCCAAGUUUAAAAUUGCAUCUGGCAAGGAAAAUGCAAAGCUUCAGCAUUUUUCCAUCAACAACCCGGGGGAUCCUUUCAUUGAAAGCAAUUAUGGUGUCCACUCUAGGCAGUUUGAGGUUGGUGUUUUGGACUGGUUCGCGUGGUUGUGGGAACUCGAGAAAGAUGAGUAUUAGGGCUAUAUAACAAACUGUGGCACAGAAGGCAAUCUCCAUGGCAUCCUAGUGGGGAGAGAGGUGUUCCCUAAUGGGAUUUUAUAUGCCUCACAGGAAUCACAUUAUUCUGUUUUCAAAGCUGCUAGAAUGUACAUAAUGGAAUGUGUGAAGAUUAACACUCUUUGGUCUGGUGAGAUUGAUUGUGAUGGUUUUGAGGCCAAGCUUCUUUGUCACAAGGACAAGCCAGGAAUUGUGGAUGUGAACAUAGGUUCUACAUCCAUUGUGAUGGGGCUUUGUUUGGUCUCAUGCUGCCUUUUGUCAAACGUCUUCAAAGUAUGAACCAGAUGGUCGAGUAAUGCUGGUUGAAUUUGAAACACUUCGUUAUACGAGACAGGAAGACCAACAAGGACUAUUAGGUUAUCAAUCCCUUUACAUGAUGCUCAAGAAUUUUUGUCUCUACCAACUUCAUUAUGCUUUUCUAGGAAUAGGAUAGGAGAUUUUGAGCAACCAAACACUCGUGUUAUACAUAUGACUAGCUAUAAUAAUUUAUUUCAAUAACAAAUUUGCAGGUGUAAAGCUGCCAUAUAAUUAUGCAUAUUUCAAUUGUAUUGCAUAAUUUUUUAUAGUAUAUUAAUUUCAUUGCAGAAUUUU